ensembl:lncRNA
GGCAAGAUCUGGCCAUUUUAUUUCAAUUUUUCUUUCAUCCAUAAUAGUUUAUACUACUGCUUAUGAUGGAUAUUAAAAAUGCAUAUUACUUGGAGCUGGUUGCAUGACUUCUGGUUGAUAAUGCAAGGCUCAGGAGCGCUGUUUGGUCCUCACCUGGGGCUCAGUAAGACUUUCUUUGGAGUUACUGCUCUUUGGUGCUGCACUUCUGGAUGUAGGAAUGGAGAUCGCAGAAAUGUCUAUACAACUCUGAGGAGAAUGCAAGAGAAGACAGCUUCCACAGUGUAAUGGAGCAGGGCUUGGUUUGGCAGGUGCAGGGCUGUGAAGAGGAGAGCUCUGAAAGUGCAAAGAGAAAGGGACAUGUACAGUAGCAUGACUUGGAGGCGAAGAAGGGGUGCAUAUGUGGGAGCAGCAGGAGCAGGCUAUCAGCACAGAGCUAAAGAAGCUGUGGUAACUUUAAAACUCUUCUUACCCAAUGAGAAUAUGACUGCACAAAUUCAACAUGCCUCAGAUGUAUUAGUUUGUUAACUAAUUAAGAAUUCCCAUAAGGGAAUCUUUUUUUUUUUCUUUUUUUUUUCUCCUUUUUCUUUUUUCAGAACAAGUAGACCUUCUGGAUUCUUACAGGCAUGUCAUUGCUUUUUCCUUCAUAGUCUCUCUCUGCUGGAUGAGUUUAUUGACUGCAUUUUAAUGCCUUCUGAAGAACCACACAUAAAAAAAAAAUGCUAAAAAAACCCAACACCUUCACAGUACUCUGGUCUCCAUGGCAAAGGUUUGGCUGCUAUUGCUUUUGAAUAUGAAUUUCGGGAUAUAGUACCGAUAAUCCUAUUAGUCUGUCUAGGAAACAAAAAAAUAUGAAAUGAAAGUUGACUCAGUGUUGAAGGUAAUCUCCUUUAUUGGACUUGUAUGAGAAUACAUGUUUCAAAGAGAAAAAAACGUUGAAAAAUGGCUGUCUCAUCUUUCCGGGGUCUCAGAAAGGCUGAAGUUCCAUGUUUUGACUGUACGAAGGGACUGGGUGUGUUUUAGGUUACUUUAUGUUCACAGUACCCUAUCCAUCUCUUAUACCCUUUAUGGGUAUAACAAAUGAGAGCCGUAACAUGCGGUUUAGGUUCACUCUACUAACUAUAAGCAGACUCUGCAUUAUAUAGUUCAUGAUUACCACUUGAAUUUGUAAGAAAGUUGGCAGGAAUGCCUUCUGCUAGGUGACCUUUGCAAAUGUGGCUGCUGCUGCUACAUGUAGUACCUAGGAAGUUGGUGUUUACUGUACUGGCUCUCUCCAGGGAACCAGAAAGGAGGACACAGCAACUCUUUGAGGCUUGGCAGAAGAAAAUCAGAGAUGUCACUUCCUACUCCAUUCCUGCCAAAUACAGUUAGAACUUUUGCUGCGGAGAACAUCAUUUAGGGAUUGCAAUUAAACCUUGACAUGUGAAAUACUUAAUUUUCAGCAGCUGAUGCUAUAAACGGAAUGCAGAUACUAGGAAUGGAGUAUAAUUUGUUUUUCUUGCAAUGAAUACAAGGUAUAAAGUGUUUAUUGACUUAAAAAGAAAAACUGAACAAACAGAAUAAAGAAGAAAGCAUGCAUGGAUGCUUUGAAGGA